rnacentral:rRNA from 1 species
UACGUAGGUGGCAAGCGUUAUCCGGAAUUAUUGGGCGUAAAGCGCGCGCAGGCGGUUCUUAAGUCUGAUGUGAAAGCCCACGGCUCAACCGUGGAGGGUCAUUGGAAACUGGGGAACUUGAGUGCAGAAGAGAAAAGCGGAAUUCCACGUGUAGCGGUGAAAUGCGUAGAGAUGUGGAGGAACACCAGUGGCGAAGGCGGCUUUUG